GCGGAAGUAGCUCAGGGGUAGAGCGCCAUCUUACCCAGAUGGAAGCGUGGGUUCGAGUCCUUCCUUCCGCU
rnacentral:tRNA from 1 species